UAUAACUUUUUUAUUGUUAUUUAUAUAACUAACCUUACCAGUAAAAGAAAAAGGUUUCUACGUUAGUUACAAAUUACAUUCUACAAAUGUUACAAGUAAUUUUACAUAUUAUAACUAUUAAGGCAAGCUCAUUAUUUGGAUUGAACAUAUAUAAAAGUUAAAACUUUUAGUUGAAAUAUAAAUAUGGUUUGGUGGAAUAGAAAUACAAAAGUUUAUUUAUUCACAAUAACUAUAUGUUUAAUAAUGGUUGUAAACGGAGAAUUUAUUAAUUUUCAAUCUAUUCGGGAACCAGAAAAAUGCCUUUUUGCUCACAAUCAUAUUAGAAAAGUUUGGCACGAUACAAACGAAUUGAAAUGGGAUGACGAACUUGCUUAUGGAGCUACAAAGUGGGCAACUCAUUUAGCAUUACAAAAUGAUUUGCGUCACUCAGAAAUGAAUAAUUACGGCGAAAACAUCUUUCGUAUGAGUGGUGACCCUUCUUUACGGUGCAUUGAUGCAGUUCAUGAAUGGUACAAAGAAAGACUAAGUUCACUUUACGAUUUUGAUGAUGUUAAGUUUGACCCAAAAGCUGGUCAUAUGCUUCAACUGUUGUGGAAGACUGCAAAAAAUGUUGGUGUUGGAAUUGUAACAGCGAAUGGCAAUGUAUGGAUUGUUGCAAGAUACACUCCAGCUCAAGAAGUGGAAACAAGUUAUAAAGAUUACAUUAAAAAGCCAGUCAAAGACGGAUUUCCUGAAAAACACGAGUUAAUUUCAAAUGAAAACCAUCAGACGCUUCAUUCCAGUAUGACCUUUGAAGUUUCAAAAGCAUGCAACGAUGUGCAAGACAAAUGGAGCUUUUGUAAAGAACGUGUUUCUGAUUGCAACGAUAACCCAAUGUUUAGAGAGAACUGUGCAUUAACAUGUCGUACAUCUCCUGAAUGCUCGCAAACAGAAAAUGAUAAUUGGACAGAAUGGGUCAAAGUUUCAAAUUGUUUGGCAGACUGCCGAUAUCGAGAAGAACGGUAUUGCAUAAAUUCGUCUAAAGAUGGUGAAGCAAACAGUUGUCCUGGAAGAAAUACAAAUUAUGUUGACUGUACAGAUUGUAAAUGUGAAGAUGUAGAUCCCAACUGUGUCGAAGAAAAAGCAAUAGGACGCUGUGAAUUAUCAGCUGAAUGGGCUAAAAUUAAAUGUAGGAAAACUUGUGGGUUUUGUUCAAAAGAAGGAUACAAAAGUAUGAUGUCUUGGUUAAAAAUAUCAAACUGUCAAUGUCAAUCAUCAGCAUACUAGCAGUGGUAUUGCAAGAUGACAUUAAGUUUUUCUGUGAGCUAAGGCAUGCUUUUUGUAAGCCUGUUAAUGACCAGAAUCUUUGUAAGCCAGUAAAACAAUUUAAUGACCAGAAAUAAUUUCAAAAAGCUUAUUUAGACAAUUACAAACACCAUGAAAAAAGUAGUCAUACAAAAUAUGUGUAAUGCUGAUACAAAAGUCUUAUACAGUUUAAACACUGUUGUUGUUAAUAGAGGUGCUUCAUGUGAUUGAAAAUGGGAACGAGGAGAUUUUUAUACUAUGAAUAAUGACUGCAAUAUCUAUUGAUAGUGGAAAAUAUUUGGAUGUAUAACCUAUGAAUAUAGUUUGUAGGUUUGUAUUAAUGAAACAGAAGACAUAACAAAUACUAACAAAUAUUUUUAUUGCACAAUCUGUCAAUUUGGGAUAAAGCUUUAAGAUGAAAAUGGCGAUUGUUAUAAACUAAUAAACAAUGAAAAAGAUGACGAAAUGAUGCACAUUCUCGUUCAAGCAAACACAGAAUAUUUCUACUGUUACACAAAAAAACAUAUUAUUA